rnacentral:misc_RNA from 1 species
GCAGCGACGGCAUUUCCCMUAUACCUCUUCAUUUGUGGGAACGAGCUUGUACUCGUCCGCKGUCGGUUUUCCUGURUUGCAUACCUAUUGCGAGGGCAUUCGGUUGGCUUAAAUUGUMYCGUCUYCGCCUUGUGCUGGCGCUCCGUGCGGGCGUUUGGYGCGGGGUGGAUCUCAYGGCUUGCGUCGUGUUUCGCGCCGCAUUCACCUAUCUUGGUGUUUGGGUAGGCGACCCAYGACGUGAUGCCCGUUGUCUCGGGUACGGAACAUCGGGUGGGUUCGAGGCGUUGUCCUCYGAUCACCRCACAAA